CAGGAGCGCUCUUUACUCCUGAGGGACGGGACUACACUUCCCGUCAGUCCCCGCGCCCCUCAGGGGGCCGGACUACAGUUCCCAUGCGCCGUCACGGACCGGGACUACACUUCCCAUGAGCCUCCGCGGCCGCCCCUCUCCUCGCGGUGUCUGAGCCAGCAUGGCGGCGGGGCUGCGUGUGAGCAUGACACCGUGUCGGGAAGGGGUAAAAACCCUCGCCUGGCUGGGGAGCUGAUUUACCCACAGUGCACCUUUACAGUGGAGGAAAUGGUCCUGCAGAAUCCUGGGGCUGCUGUUGCCCAAAGACAUCUUUGGCCAGAGGGCAGCUGCUAUGUUUGGCUUCAGGCUGAUCUAGAAGGAAGAUUGUUCUGGACUGGAUGUCACAAAUGACUGCUGAUAUGUCAUGUAAAAUGGCCACCUGUGUGUAGCCACAGGCUCCUCCUCACUGCUCAGUCGUUGCUGCAGCCACACCAUGGGUAAGGGACCACUAAACCCAAAAAGGAUUUGGGUGCUAGUGCCAUUGGCCUGGGUGGGAGCAAGGUUUUGUCUCCCGAGUCCUGUACUCCAGAUUAAAUUGUGCAAAUCAGGAACUUUUCAGCUGCCCUGAUACUAUUGUUUUUUGGGUUUUUUUCACCAGGACCUGAUCUGCUGUUGGCUGGAGGAAAAAGUCGUUCCCUGCUUUUUGCUGUUUCAGAAUAAAAUAAGUUGUGGAAAAUCUUACGAAUCGAAG
rnacentral:lncRNA from 1 species